rnacentral:piRNA from 1 species
UGAGAGAAAGCAUCUGGGAGAAGCCGAU